rnacentral:rRNA from 1 species
AUGAACGCUGGCGGCGUGCUUAACACAUGCAAGUCGAACGAUGAAGCCCAGCUUGCUGGGUGGAUUAGUGGCGAACGGGUGAGUAACACGUGAGUAACCUGCCCUUGACUCUGGGAUAAGCCUGGGAAACUAGGUCUAAUACCGGAUAUGAGCGUCCACCGCAUGGUGGGUGCUGGAAAGAUUUAUCGGUCAUGGAUGGACUCGCGGCCUAUCAGCUUGUUGGUGAGGUAAUGGCUCACCAAGGCGACGACGGGUAGCCGGCCUGAGAGGGUGACCGGCCACACUGGGACUGAGACACGGCCCAGACUCCUACGGGAGGCAGCAGUGGGGAAUAUUGCACAAUGGGCGAAAGCCUGAUGCAGCGACGCCGCGUGAGGGAUGACGGCCUUCGGGUUGUAAACCUCUUUCAGUAGGGAAGAAGCGAAAGUGACGGUACCUGCAGAAGAAGCACCGGCUAACUACGU